GACGUAGGGCGCGAGCGUUGUCCGGAUUUAUUGGGCGUAAAGAGCUCGUAGGCGGCUUGUUGCGUCGACCGUGAAAACCCGGGGCUCAACUUCGGGCUUGCGGUCGAUACGGGCGGGCUAGAGUUCGGUAGGGGAGACUGGAAUUCCUGGUGUAGCGGUGAAAUGCGCAGAUAUCAGGAGGAACACCGGUGGCGAAGGCGGGUCUCUGGGCCGAUACUGACGCUGAGGCGCGACAGCGUGGGGGAGCAAACAGG
rnacentral:rRNA from 1 species